GGGCGAGCGGGGCGGGGCCCGGGGGCAAGAUGGCGGCCUCGCGGCGAGGUCGCAGAUGUGUGAGCAGAGGAAAACACCCGUGGAACUCCGAGCCAGGGCACGCCGGGGCCAAGGGUGACUGGACUGUCUUCCAAGCAGGCCUCCAGCUCAGAAGACGCUGUCGCGGGAGGAGGGACCCCGCUGCCUCUGGGGCACCCUCAUCUCAAGAUGACGGGAGAGUGGGUACCUGUUGUGGGUAGGAGAGGCUCCAAGAGGCGCACGAGGAAAAGAGACUGGAUUGCUGGCUCGGAAGUUCUCACUUGGGAGACAUACUUGGGGACAUGCAUAAAAUCUCAGAAGAAACCAAGUGUCUGUUAUCAGUGACAAAGACUUCUUUUCAUCUGCACAUGUGGCAAAUACGCAGAAGCCACAGGAGAUGAGCUGCAUCUCCUUCCCUGACAGUGGAGUGGAUCUAAGCUUUGCCUCGUGGGUACACCCUGCCUCCAGGCCUCAGGUUCAGAGAGGCAGGUGGCCAGCCUCUCCUUGGAGGGACCGGUGCAGAAGUGCUGGAAAGGAACGAAGCUGCAGGCCCUAAACACCCAGUGAAGGAGUUCCCGCUGUGCCACAGCAGGUUAAGGACCCGGCCUUGUCUCUGAGGUUGCACAGGGAGAACUUCUGCCACGGUGGUAUCCUGCUGCUGCCGCCCUCGUUCAGCCAAAGACCAGGCCAGGCGACGUCGGCCCUCAGCUCCCGCUUUUUGCUCCUUUGAUCCCCUGCCCCCAGCCCUGCCUUUGGAGUUGAAGUAGGAACCCCACUUCUAAGUGGGAGGGAGGGCUGCUCCCUGCCCCACCGUUCCAGAGUCACUGUGGCUCCCCCAGUGGCGCCUUGGCUCCCUCGCCCUCCUGCACGGUCCCGCCACGGGGUGGGGGGUGGAGGAUGCAAACCCCUCACGGGAGGAUCUAGAGACCCCUUGUAGCUCAGGAAGGCUGCUGGUGGAUGUGUAACUGCCGCCCCUCCCCCCAAAGAGAGAAUGGUAUUUUCUUUAAAGAAAAUGAAAAAAGCGGCUUUUCUUUUUUUUUUUCCUUUUGGCCAUGCCUGUGGCUUCCACAAGUUCCAGGCCCAGGGAUGGAACCCAAGCCUCAGCAGCAACACCACCAGGUCCUUAGCCCAGUGCACCCCUUGGGAACUCCAAAAAGCCGCUUUUUUCUCUCCAUGGUCAUAACUGGGACCGGUUGAGGCGUGCCCCUGUGGAAGCCAGCGAGCUGGGGCUGUGCUCGAAGCCAGGACACCCCCUGGGGGGAGCCAGCCCCGGAGCCUGACCUGUGUGUCCGCAUGGCCUGUUGUCCGGCCCCAAGGUGGGCCCCUGGGCAGGGUUGUCAGCUGGGCUAGAGUCCUUAACUGCCGGCCAGCUCUCGUCGCUCCCUCUGCAGGCGCUGCUCCAUCUGAGUGGGGCGUGUUACUCUCUUUACUUCCUGGCCACGCUCCUGCUGAUCGCGUAUAAAAGCCAAGUUUUCACCUAUCCUCACGGCUUCCUGGUCCUUGACCUGACUCUGCUCUUCCUGAUGGGGAUUCUGGAAGCAACGCGGCUGUACCUCGGCACCAAGGGCAACCUGACGGAGGCCGAGGUGCCGCUGGCCGCCAGCCUGGUCCUGACUGUGGGCGGCACCCUGCUGGCCAUCUACUUCCUGCUCUGGCAGACCCUGGUGCUGCGGGCAGACUGGGUCCUUGGCGCCACGCUCCUGGUGCUCCAUGGCCUGGAGGCCGUCCUGCAGGUGGUGGCCAUCGCCGGCUUUGUCAGCUAGGCCCCUGCGGCAGCCCCGGCCAGGAGCCCUUCCUGAGGGUGAGACGGCCUGCCAGCCGUUGCCCAGGGGGAGGGCGUCCUUCUGCUGAUGCGCCAUGACCUUGGAGGGCCUGGCGGCUUGGGUGAUCUCUGAGUCCUUGAGGCGGAGAUGGGCUCAGGAGCCAGGGCAGAGCAAAAUGCUGGGGCAGGCGGGGGCCCAGCGGAAGCCGGGACUGCCCGGGCGUCCUCCUCAGGAAGCGCAGGCCCCGCUUGGCUGGCAGGACCUCCAUUCAGCAACCGCCCUGCCCCCUGGGCCGGAAGGCAGCGAGGGGCCGGGGACGAGCCCCGGGCAGACGCUGCUCUGCCUCUUCCACGAGAGAGUAAUGCCAGAGAGCCAGGGCUUCUUCCCCCCGGGGACACAGGAAAGGCGAGCUUGAAGCGCCAGUGCCCAGGGGACAGAGCGCCUCCCUCAGCAGGACGUUGGCCCUGGGCACCGGGGACUUCGCCAGGGGGACCUUUGCCCACUCACAGACCCACUCCAGUGCCUCUGGAAGAAACCUGAGCUGAUGUUUUCUGGCAACUUUCAUUUGUUUCAGUUGUACAUUUUCUGUGUUUGGAAUAAUACCGUGUUUGAAUAUCUAGACAUUUUCUCUUCACUGUAGUUUUUAAAUAAAGCGUUUAUCCUUCCCUG
rnacentral:lncRNA from 9 species